ensembl:lncRNA
CACCCAUUCACACACUGGUGGAGGCAAGCUACAGUUGUAGCCACAGCUGCCCUGGGGCAGGCUGACAGAAGCGAGGCUGCCAUAUCGCGCCAUCGGCCCUUCUGGCCAACACCAGUAGGCAGUAGGUGAAGUGUCUUGCCCAAGGACACAACGACCGAGACUGUCCGAGCCAGGGCUCGAACCGGCAACCUUCCGAUUACAAGGCGAACUUAUCGCCCUGGACCCGCCAAUGUAAUAGAUGCAGAUACUAAUAAAUAUGGUGUAACAAGAUUGAAGAUGAAAAAGUAAUGUACACAAAUAGAAAUCUUAUUAAAUGUAAUCUCGAAAAGCCUUAAAAAAAUCACACUUUAUGUCACAUUGAUUGUUUUAAUAAGUAAAUCAAUAAUUGCAUCUUAAAGCUGAAGCACAGCCAGAAAGAGUUUCUGUUACUGUUACUGUGGGAUAAUUUGCUUUAACAUCAAGUAACAAAUUAACACACUUUUUAAUAGCUGUGCAUGAGUGCACUGUUUCAGUCAAUUUGACAAGAAUGUUUAAAAAAUAAUGUAUUUCAGUUUACAUUGCCAGAUGUUGAAAUCUUAUUCAGUGGUCGGUGUCGAUCACUUUGCUUUCUGUGUAGGAUUUCAAAUUUGCCGUGUCAGUCCUCUUUGAAGUUGCAGCAGUGUCAAUGGAAAAUUGUACUUAGUAGUCAGUAUAAGCUUUUAAUGAUAUAAGUUUGCAUAUGAUAGAAUACUGUAUGUUGACCUUUUGAUGACUUAGACUGUUGUCCACUACAAGACUGUUUUAUAAAUUCUUUCUCACAGCGAUAAUAGCUGAACAAGCAGGAAGAGGAGAGCUGGACACUUUUAUCUGCGCUCCUUAACAAGAAGAGGGGCCGCGUCCUUCUGAAUCUCACAACACACACACACAUACAUCUGAACCACUCUUAUCUUCACUCCCUACGCACUAACAUUCCUCUGCCUAUGAAUAGACGUAUUCACUGUUGUAUUACUUUUGUAUAUAAAUAAAGACAAGUGCAAGAACAGAGCGCGCAUCACAGGGCCCCCACUCUGGUGUGAGCGUUCUGUGACCGCCCUUGUAUACAAGUGAAAAACACAGCGUCUGUGUGUGUUUCUACCCUUAGACUCUUAGCUGAAGAAGUGUCUUUAGAAUAAAUCUCUUGACAUUUAUUUUGGUCCUUCGAGCCGGAUCAGAAAUAUCAGAACUGUUAUCUGUGACUCUGUUCCAGGAUCUGGCAUACUGUUUCCUGACGCCGUGGAGCCAGCACCGAAGACUGUGCACAGCCCUCUUAGACGAGGAGGACCUGGGACGUUUGAGUCCGGGCCGGUCUGGUCCACGGCGAUGGGAUUCAGUCUGACGAUCCGAACCACCAGUGAGACGUCUGAGGGUGAGAAACACUAUUUUUGAUAUAUAAAACGGCCGCAAAGGUUUAAAGAAACGUGAUAAAUUAGGUUUAAGUUCGCCAAAAAGAACUAAGUUUAGACUGGUUUUAGAGGUAGCCAUUAAGUACUUCGUCAUAGAUUAGGUUUAAGUUCGCCAAAAGGAACUGUGUUUAGACCGGUUUUAGAGGUAACCGUCAAAUACUUCGUAACAAAUUAGCGCGCAAAUGUCUAUGUGUGUAUGUGUGUAGAAGUAAGUUGAUUUUACAGCACAAUACGCUGCUGAACUACUUCUAUUUUAUUUGUUUUCUUUGCUUGAGGCUCAAGUACUGGUGACAAAAGAGAAGGGUUGAGUUUCGUCUCGUAAAACUGAUACCGCUUCAUUUUUUAGAAGUGAAGUAGAAGGCCGUAUCAGUAAACCACUCUGGAGUCAAGCGUGCCAGUGACGGCCCAGCAAAAUCUUUGGAAAUGGGUAAUAAACAAGCAAAAUUAAUACCU